AUCAAUUCCAACACAUAUGGGUUUGAAGCAGUGAGAUUGUAUUUUGCGGCCAUCUUAGAGUUUUGGAAAUGUUCAGAUUUUUUAAUAUCUAUUUUUCUAGCUCUUUGGAAGCUGCAUUUGUAAAGUGAUGACCUGGCUUUGUGAAAAGGGCUUCCUCCAGAAAUACAACUAAAGUUCUGGUGUUGGGCUAUGCACUUCAGCGAUGUGGCAAUGGAGAUCUUUUUGUGUAGGUAAAUUUUAACAUGAAUUUGGAGACAGCAAGACAAUGAUUUUAUCUUGAAGGUGUAUAGUUUUUUAUAUUUUGAAAUGAAUUAUUUUUAAAUUGCAUACUGAUUUUAUUUGUAAAAUUGUUUUGUUAGAUGAGAUAAUAAUAAAAUGGACUUUGCCGUUGAUGCACUUGUCAAACUGCUUGAUGCAAAUGCUUUCUCUUUUAGUGUAAUAACAGUCUGCAUGCAAUGAAGCCUCAGAAAAAUGCGAUAUCAGAAAAUCUGGUUGUUAAGUUGAGGAAACAUGACACGAAAUUUGACCUUUCCAAUAAUUUUGAGAGAUUAAUCGUAGGUAAAUUGCGAAAUUAAAUGUAGCCGCAAUCAUUCCAAUGUUUAUGUUCCAACCGCUAUUUAGUUCUAAUGCCUUUACUGUACAAUGAGACAGUCUAUUAUUCUGUUUAUGGAUGUAUAAACUUCAAAUCCAAAAUAAAGCAAAUACCUUUCUAAAACACAA